GCGUUGUUGGUCUAGUGGCAGAAUUCUUGCCUACCAAGCAGGAGACCCGGGUUCGAUUCCCGGACAACGCA
rfam:Polysphondylium pallidum PN500 unplaced genomic scaffold PPL_contig15, whole genome shotgun sequence.